rnacentral:tRNA from 1 species
GCCGAAUAGUGUAGUGGUUAAUGACCCUAGUAACUGCUAUGCCGAAGGUCCCGGGUUCGAUCCCCGGCUGAGGCA